AGAGUUUGAUCAUGGCUCAGAUUGAACGCUGGCGGCAGGCCUAACACAUGCAAGUCGAACGGUAACAGGAAGCAGCUUGCUGCUUCGCUGACGAGUGGCGGACGGGUGAGUAAUGUCUGGGAAGCUGCCUGAUGGAGGGGGAUAACUACUGGAAACGGUAGCUAAUACCGCAUAAUGUCGCAAGACCAAAGAGGGGGACCUUCGGGCCUCUUGCCAUCGGAUGUGCCCAGAUGGGAUUAGCUUGUUGGUGGGGUAACGGCUCACCAAGGCGACGAUCCCUAGCUGGUCUGAGAGGAUGACCAGCCACACUGGAACUGAGACACGGUCCAGACUCCUACGGGAGGCAGCAGUGGGGAAUAUUGCACAAUGGGCGCAAGCCUGAUGCAGCCAUGCCGCGUGUAUGAAGAAGGCCUUCGGGUUGUAAAGUACUUUCAGCGGGGAGGAAGGGAGUAAAGUUAAUACCUUUGCUCAUUGACGUUACCCGCAGAAGAAGCACCGGCUAACUCCGUGCCAGCAGCCGCGGUAAUACGGAGGGUGCAAGCGUUAAUCGGAAUUACUGGGCGUAAAGCGCACGCAGGCGGUUUGUUAAGUCAGAUGUGAAAUCCCCGGGCUCAACCUGGGAACUGCAUCUGAUACUGGCAAGCUUGAGUCUCGUAGAGGGGGGUGGAAUUCCAGGUGUAGCGGUGAAAUGCGUAGAGAUCUGGAGGAAUACCGGUGGCGAAGGCGGCCCCCUGGACGAAGACUGACGCUCAGGUGCGAAAGCGUGGGGAGCAAACAGGAUUAGAUACCCUGGUAGUCCACGCCGUAAACGAUGUCGACUUGGAGGUUGUGCCCUUGAGGCGUGGCUUCCGGAGCUAACGCGUUAAGUCGACCGCCUGGGGAGUACGGCCGCAAGGUUAAAACUCAAAUGAAUUGACGGGGGCCCGCACAAGCGGUGGAGCAUGUGGUUUAAUUCGAUGCAACGCGAAGAACCUUACCUGGUCUUGACAUCCACGGAAGUUUUCAGAGAUGAGAAUGUGCCUUCGGGAACCGUGAGACAGGUGCUGCAUGGCUGUCGUCAGCUCGUGUUGUGAAAUGUUGGGUUAAGUCCCGCAACGAGCGCAACCCUUAUCCUUUGUUGCCAGCGGUCCGGCCGGGAACUCAAAGGAGACUGCCAGUGAUAAACUGGAGGAAGGUGGGGAUGACGUCAAGUCAUCAUGGCCCUUACGACCAGGGCUACACACGUGCUACAAUGGCGCAUACAAAGAGAAGCGACCUCGCGAGAGCAAGCGGACCUCAUAAAGUGCGUCGUAGUCCGGAUUGGAGUCUGCAACUCGACUCCAUGAAGUCGGAAUCGCUAGUAAUCGUGGAUCAGAAUGCCACGGUGAAUACGUUCCCGGGCCUUGUACACACCGCCCGUCACACCAUGGGAGUGGGUUGCAAAAGAAGUAGGUAGCUUAACCUUCGGGAGGGCGCUUACCACUUUGUGAUUCAUGACUGGGGUGAAGUCGUAACAAGGUAACCGUAGGGGAACCUGCGGUUGGAUCACCU
rnacentral:rRNA from 1 species